rnacentral:rRNA from 1 species
UCGAGCGGUAGAGAGAAGCUUGCUUCUCUUGAGAGCGGCGGACGGGUGAGUAAUGCCUAGGAAUCUGCCUGGUAGUGGGGGAUAACGUUCGGAAACGGACGCUAAUACCGCAUACGUCCUACGGGAGAAAGCAGGGGACCUUCGGGCCUUGCGCUAUCAGAUGAGCCUAGGUCGGAUUAGCUAGUUGGUGAGGUAAUGGCUCACCAAGGCGACGAUCCGUAACUGGUCUGAGAGGAUGAUCAGUCACACUGGAACUGAGACACGGUCCAGACUCCUACGGGAGGCAGCAGUGGGGAAUAUUGGACAAUGGGGGCAACCCUGAUCCAGCCAUGCCGCGUGAGGGAUGACGGCCUUCGGGUUGUAAACCUCUUUCAGCAGGGAACAAGGCCAGGCUGUUGUCUGGUUGAGGGUACUUGCAGAAGAAGCGCCGGCUAACUACGUGCCAGCAGCCGCGGUAAU